CCAAGCUCAUUAACUGAUUGAUUUUCACAAAUUCAUUAGAGUCUAGUAAGGUAUUUUCUUCAUUUUGUCAAUGAGGAAUUGGAACCUUGAGAAUGAAAUACCUUGCUAAAUACCAUGAAUGGGAACUAGUCUGAUUAUAUUGGAUCAGAAUACUUGUAGACUGCUCCAAAUGACCUGAGUUGACUUUGGUGGAGACCAGAGUCCUUCAUCUGAUUUUUUCUUGAUUAGAUCAAGCCAACUCUGUCCUGAGUGUCCUGAUCCACAAUGAAAGUGAAUAUGAGCUCACAGUUGGUGAGGGCAAAGAUCCUCAUUGCCCAACAUGUCUCUGUGCUGAGUGCAUUGAACCAUUUGUGUGAAUGUUUUAAGGAGGUACCAGGACUGGAAUGGAAGCAUCAAAUUCUUAAAGCCUUGCUACAGUAACUGAAACUAAGAGCUGGAUGAUGAUAGGUUCAGGAUGUCUUGAAAUGGAAAACAAUCGGAAUUUUAGCCUGCGGGGAGAGCUUAGACAGAGUUGUCCCACGGCCUCAUUCCAAGAGGUUAUAUUCCAGAGAGGCUGGUGAUUUGUCCAAGGACUCGAGGUGAAUCAGCAUGAGAAACAAGAUGCUAAGAAGAUAAAAGAUGGAGCUGACAAACACAGUGUUCUGUUGAUUAGGCUGGGACUCAGCUCCUUUGCCUCAGUCGACUGCAUUGGCCAACCUGCAACUUCUCAAGGAAUCACAGCAUGAAAUAAAGACGAGAUGAGUCAUAGUCCUGCGUGGUACUGAUCAAACUGGCUUUUAGGUAUGAUUCAUGAGGACUUUAGCUUUGGGAAUCAUAAGUCUUUCUUCUUAUUCGAAAGUUGAAGAGAAAGAAACUUUGAUUCUGAAUUGUGAUCCUGUGAUUCAACAACAAAAAACAUGUUCACAUUGUGUUGAUCCUUUAUAUUCUGAAUUAUGUUAAAUAAGUGAUUAAACUUCUCAUCCAAUUUGCCUUAAAUCUAAGGGAAGCAAUUGUCUAGCCGCUCUAGCCCUGAGCUAGAAGAGAUAAACCCUAAAGGACUUAUUUAUUUGAUUUUUAAAUUAACUGCCUUUGCUAAAAUGCCUAGGAUACAGGCGCCAAGGCAUCAUUAAGUAUAAAAAUAUUUAGGCCAAGAGAUGACAGUGGUAAUGCAAGGGAGAAACCAGGGCAAUUGAACACAGCACUAAGAUAAUGUUGCCUCAUUUGUACAUUGAAAUAGUCAGGUUUUAAAAUAAUGGUCUAAAACAGAAACUAGGCCACUCGAUUCACACCAGGGUGAGCAUUAGAUAGAUAGGGCCCUUCCUUCCACAAAGGACCAGUGCUGGGGAAAAUUGGCUAUUUUCUUGGGCUAUAAACAAACAAAAUGAGUGACAGAAUGCCAUAACCCGUUGUCUCAGCGGUGGAGAAGAUACACAGAAGGCUUGAUC